AGGAGAGAGGCUGAGGCAUGGAAUAGUAAUGCAGGGCAUCAGUUCACAUAUGAGAGGAGAAGCAAUAGGAGGAGGGCUCAGUUUGAACCAGAAGUUGAAGAGGACAGUUCUGGGGGUGAAGACAGUAGUAGUGGAUCAGAGUUUGUGGACUCCGAUAAUGAGUUCGAUAAAGAUGAUGACAACCUAUAUGAGAAGUAUGUUGAUGCAGAUGCAGAGGAGGAAGAGCAGAGCAAGGACAAGGACAAGGACAAGGAUAUUGGAAGCUCAAAGGAAAAGGGAAAUGCAAGUAAGGGCAAGAAUUUGGUGGAAGAAGAGGAGGAGCUGGACCUCCCAGAUUCAGAUGAAGAAGGAGGUGAGAACAGUUUGAAGUUCAAAAGUUUUAGGCCUGAAGACAUGAAAAAUCCUGUGUUCAAAGUUGGAAUGGUCUUUUCAUCAAUUGUAGAGGUUAGGACAGCUUUGGCAGAGUAUGCUGUUAAGAACAGGGUAGCUAUAAAGACACCAAAAAACGACAAAAUUAGAGUGAAAGCUCAUUGUGUCCCAGGUUGCCCCUGGGAGUUCUUUGCCUCAAAGGAUAGCAGAACAAAGUGCAUAAUGCUGAAAAAAUACAUAGAUGAGCACACUAGCAGUAGGGAGUGGGAGGUGAAGCAAUUCACUGCUAGUUACAUAGCAAAGAAGUAUGUUGAGAAGGUGAGGACAGAUGAAUCAAUUUCAUUGAGAACCCUGGGAAGUAAUGUGCAAGAGGAUUACAAUAUGGCAGCCACCAAGAGCAAGCUUGCUAGAGCAAAGAGAGAAGCAAUCAGAAAGAUUAGAGGAGAUGAGCAAAAACAGUACAAUAUGUUGUGGGAUUUUGCAGAAGAGCUGAGAACACAAAAUCCUGGUAGCACAUUCUAUUUGAAACUGAAAAAUGGUGUUCUUUUUGACAAAUUGUACAUGUCUAUAGAUGCAUGUAAGAGGGGUUUUCUGCAAGGAUGU
rnacentral:rRNA from 1 species